GCAUAUCAAUAAGCGGAGGAAAAGAAACUAACAAGGAUUCCCCUAGUAACUGCGAGUGAAGCGGGAAAAGCUCAAAUUUAAAAUCUGGCGGUCUUUGGCCGUCCGAGUUGUAGUCUGGAGAAGUGCUUUCCGCGCUGGACCGUGUAUAAGUCUCUUGGAACAGAGCGUCAUAGAGGGUGAGAAUCCCGUCUUUGACACGGACUACCAGUGCUUUGUGAUGCGCUCUCAAAGAGUCGAGUUGUUUGGGAAUGCAGCUCAAAAUGGGUGGUGAAUUCCAUCUAAAGCUAAAUAUUGGCGAGAGACCGAUAGCGAACAAGUACCGUGAGGGAAAGAUGAAAAGCACUUUGGAAAGAGAGUUAAACAGUACGUGAAAUUGCUGAAAGGGAAACGCUUGAAGUCAGUCGCGUCGUCCGGAACUCAGCCUUGCUUUUGCUUGGUGCACUUUCCGGUUGACGGGCCAGCAUCGAUUUUGACCGUCGGAAAAGGGCUAGGGUAAUGUGGCACCUCCGGGUGUGUUAUAGACUCUAGUCGCAUACGGCGGUUGGGAUCGAGGAACGCAGCGCGCCGCAAGGCAGGGGUUCGCCCACUUUCGCGCUUAGGAUGCUGGCAUAAUGGCUUUAAACGACCCGUCUUGAAACACGGACC
rnacentral:rRNA from 3 species